rnacentral:rRNA from 1 species
UACAGAGGUCUCAAGCGUUGUUCGGAUUCAUUGGGCGUAAAGGGUUCGUAGGUGGCCAACUAAGUCAGACGUGAAAUCCCUCAGCUUAACUGGGGAACUGCGUCUGAUACUGGUUGGCUUGAGUGCAGGAGAGGAAUGCGGAAUUCCAGGUGUAGCGGUGAAAUGCGUAGAUAUCUGGAGGAACACCGGUGGCGAAGGCGGCGUUCUGGACUGCAACUGACACUGAGGAACGAAAGCCAGGGGAGCAAACGGG